CCUGCCUCAUAAAUCUUAUUUGAGAUUUGUUUGGGAGUGAACUGGAAAUUCUCCUUCUUCGAAUGGCCUGUGUUUAUGUCUGCCGAGCCUUUCUGUAAGAGUGUCUGUGUCCUAGAUCCACAAGAGCCAACCCAAUAGGGAGAAAGACGGAAGCAGAGAAAUCUAUCCCCUUGUUUUUUCUGUCACGUGCCAGGUCAUAUGACUUGCUAGUGAUGAAGAACACAAGUUUUGACUCCUGAACCAGUAGCAAUUUGUUGCCAGACUUUACACCUUUUUACUUACACUAGCAUAUGUAAGUACAAUACAGUAAUAGGAUUCUGGCCACGAUGAAGAGGCAGUAUGGCUUUCAACUGGCAAAACCAUUAGAGGCUGCAUUUUAUCUUCCAUAUGCAUCUCCCAAUCUAUACACAAACUCUAUCAAAUGAAAGGCAGUGAACUGAAAUCACUACUGAAAAGAGAUCAAAGAGGAAAGUGUGACAGCAUGAUGACAGCUGAACAUAUAGAAGGCAAAAA